rnacentral:rRNA from 1 species
UACGUAGGGGGCAAGCGUUGUCCGGAUUUAUUGGGCGUAAAGAGCGUGUAGGCGGCUAUACAGGUCCGCUGUGAAAACUCGAGGCUCAACCUCGAGACGUCGGUGGAAACCGUAUGGCUAGAGUCCGGAAGAGGAGAGUGGAAUUCCUGGUGUAGCGGUGAAAUGCGCAGAUAUCAGGAAGAACACCCGUGGCGAAGGCGGCUCUCUGGGCCGGUACUGACGCUGAGACGCGAAAGCGUGGGGAGCGAACAGG